rnacentral:rRNA from 1 species
GUAGGGUGCAGGCGUUAAUCGGAAUUACUGGGCGUAAAGCGUGCGCAGGCGGUUUGUUAAGACAGGUGUGAAAUCCCCGGGCUUAACCUGGGGAACUGCGCUUGUUACUGGCAGGCUUGAGUGUGGCAGAGGGGGGUGGAAUUCCAGGUGUAGCAGUGAAAUGCGUAGAUAUCUGGAGGAACACCGAUGGCGAAGGCAGCCCCCUGGGUUAACACUGACGCUCAUGCACGAAAGCGUGGGGAGCAAACAGGAUUAGAUACCCUGGUAGUCCACGCCCUAAACUAUGUCAACUGGUUGUCGGGGAAGCAAUUCCUUGGUAACGAAGCUAACGCGUGAAGUUGACCGCCUGGGGAGUACGGCCGCAAGGUUA